CGUACAGGUCUCCGUAGGUGAACCUGCGGAGGGAUCAUUACACAAAUAUGAAGGCGGGCUGGAACCUCUCGGGGUUACAGCCUUGCUGAAUUAUUCACCCUUGUCUUUUGCGUACUUCUUGUUUCCUUGGUGGGUUCGCCCACCACUAGGACAAACAUAAACCUUUUGUAAUUGCAAUCAGCGUCAGUAACAAAUUAAUAAUUACAACUUUCAACAACGGAUCUCUUGGUUCUGGCAUCGAUGAAGAACGCAGCGAAAUGCGAUAAGUAGUGUGAAUUGCAGAAUUCAGUGAAUCAUCGAAUCUUUGAACGCACAUUGCGCCCUUUGGUAUUCCAAAGGGCAUGCCUGUUCGAGCGUCAUUUGUACCCUCAAGCUUUGCUUGGUGUUGGGCGUCUUGUCUCUAGCUUUGCUGGAGACUCGCCUUAAAGUAAUUGGCAGCCGGCCUACUGGUUUCGGAGCGCAGCACAAGUCGCACUCUCUAUCAGCAAAGGUCUAGCAUCCAUUAAGCCUUUUUUUCAACUUUCGACCUCGGAUCAGGUAGGGAUACCCGCUGAACUUAAGCAUAUC
rnacentral:rRNA from 1 species